rnacentral:snRNA from 1 species
CGUGAAAGCGUGGCCUAU